UACGGAGGGUGCGAGCGUUGUCCGGAAUCACUGGGCGUAAAGGGCGCGUAGGCGGCCUGAUAAGUAGGGGGUGAAAUCCUGCGGCUUAACCGCAGGGCUGCCUUCUAAACUGUCAGGCUAGAGCACAGUAGAGGCAGGUGGAAUUCCCGGUGUAGCGGUGGAAUGCGCAGAUAUCAGGAGGAACACCGAUGGCGAAGGCAGUUCUCUGGGCCGUAACUGACGCUGAGGCGCGAAAGCGUGGGGAGCGAACAGG
rnacentral:rRNA from 1 species